GACUAUGUGGUGCCGUGUCCUGUAUGUGAACAACAUAACUGUAAGUACAACCAGUUGUUUUUCACAUAUAGAAUACGGCGCCAUAUUGA
rnacentral:pre_miRNA from 1 species